CACAGAUGCACAUGAAAUUUGGUGCCGUGACUCGGAUUGGGGGACCUCCCUUGGGAGAUCAAUCCCCUGUACUCCUGUUCUUUGCUCCGUGAGAAAGAUCCACCUAUGACCCUCAGGUCCUCAGACCGACUAGCCCAAGGAACAUCUCACCAAUUUUAAAUCAGGUGGAGUCUCGCACUGUCAUCCUGGCUGGAAUGCAGUGGUGCAAGCCGACUCACUGCAACCUCUGCCUCUUGGGUUCAAGUGAUUCUCCUGCUUCAGCCUCCUGAUUUGCUGGGAUUGCAGAGCAAACCAGUGAAAAAAUGGCCUUCGCACUCCUGAGAGACCUUUCACCGGGCUUUCUACUUUUGAAUUCUCUCCAUAGCUGGUUUCCUCUUAGGCCUCGAUAGAGCAGUCCCUGAAUCACACAGGUAUGCUGACUACGUCUUUUCCUGGUACAAACCAUCAUGGGGGAAACACACAGCAAGAAGCAUCUUCAGGUCACAAGAUAGACUUUGGGAAUCACCCAACUGAUGGAAAGAACCAGGAAAGGGGUCAGGAUCUGCACCUUGGCAAACUUUGAAGAACACCCAAUUUGAUGAAUGAAAACUCCUCACUUGUGCUCUGGUGGUGUUUUAGGACAAUGGGCCCCUCCUGGAUGCUCCAGUGAAGCCCCAUAUCACCUUUUUCCUUCCUGUUUGCCAUAGCUCCAGGUGUAGGGACAGAUCAGAAGAUUCUGGAAAAGGCAGAUCACCAAAGAACUCAAGAUGUACUGAUAUUUUGCCAGUUUCCUUCAUCAACAAC
rnacentral:lncRNA from 1 species